rnacentral:rRNA from 1 species
CCUACGGGAGGCAGCAGUAGGGAAUAUUGCUCAAUGGGGGAAACCCUGAAGCAGCAACGCCGCGUGGAGGAUGAAGGUUUUCGGAUUGUAAACUCCUUUUGUUAGAGAAGAUAAUGACGGUAUCUAACGAAUAAGCACCGGCUAACUCCGUGCCAGCAGCCGCGGUAAUACGGAGGGUGCAAGCGUUACUCGGAAUCACUGGGCGUAAAGAGCGCGUAGGCGGGAUAGCAAGUCAGAUGUGAAAUCCUAGGGCUUAACCAUAGAACUGCAUUUGAAACUGUUAUUCUAGAGUAUGGGAGAGGUAGGUGGAAUGCUUGGUGUAGGGGUAAAAUCCGUAGAGAUCAAGAGGAAUACUCAUUGCGAAGGCGACCUGCUAGAACAUAACUGACGCUGAUGCGCGAAAGCGUGGGGAGCAAACAGGAUUAGAUACCCCUGUAGUC